rnacentral:rRNA from 1 species
UACGGGGGGAGCAAGCGUUGUUCGGAUUUACUGGGCGUAAAGGGCGCGUAGGCGGUCAGCACAAGUCAGUUGUGAAAUCUCCGGGCUUAACUCGGAAAGGUCAACUGAUACUGUGCGACUAGAGUGCAGAAGGGGCAACUGGAAUUCUCGGUGUAGCGGUGGAAUGCGUAGAUAUCGAGAGGAACACCUGCGGCGAAGGCGGGUUGCUGGGCCGACACUGACGCUGAUGCGCGAAAGCCAGGGGAGCGAACGGG